UUCGCUACACCGGAUAAGGUGGCUGAACUUUUUCAAAAGGUAUAUGCUGCAAUACAGCAAGAGUUGCUUCCGAUUUUAGCAAAAAUGAAACUCUAUUUGCAAAACCCAUCAACAAGGACCAUUCUUUUCAAGCCAAUCAAGUCAAAUAUAGUGGGAGCUCAUACCCAAGUGGA